CCACCUCCAAGUUCCAACCAUGGCGCUCGCAACCCCGAUUCUGAUGUCUCAACCUCAAUUCCAACAGUUAUCCUCCACAAAGGCCAUCACCCAAGUUACUCGCUCACCCGUAUCCAUCGUAAUCACAAACAGAAUAAGAUGGGUGGUUCCUCAAAAUCGAAGGUGUAUUACCACCAUAAACGCCAUGGCCGGUGGUGGACUAUACUCCGCCCAGCAAUUCGAACUCACUCCCCAAAACGUUGAUACCGUUCUCGAUGACGUGAGGCCAUACCUCAUUGCCGAUGGCGGAAACGUUGACGUUGUAUCGGUUGAAGAUGGCGUCGUUUCUCUCAAGCUACAAGGGGCAUGUGGGAAUUGUCCGAGCUCAACGACCACCAUGAAGAUGGGGAUCGAGAGAGUCCUCAAAGAAAAAUUUGGAGAUGCUGUCAAGGAUAUUGUUCAAGUUUAUGAUGAACAACCUGCUGAAACAACUGUUGAGGCAGUAAAUGGGCAUCUUGAAAUAUUGAGGCCAGCCAUAGCCAACUUUGGGGGAAGUGUGGAAGUAUUAUCUGUGGAAGGUGGGGAAUGCGUUGUGAAGUAUACUGGGCCUGAGUCUAUUGGAUCGGGAGUCAAAGCAGCAAUCAAGGAGAAGUUUCCGGACAUUGUGAAUGUCAUAUUCACAGGGUAGAUUGGUCUUGAGAGGAGGAACAGCUAAAGAAACUUGAAAAACAGUGGACUUUUGAGUAUCUUUGUGUAGUCCAAUGUAUGGCAUAUGAAGCCUUAUUCGCACAAGAUGAUAUCUUGAAGGCUGAAUCUUUUGGUUUUUAGAUAUGUGGUUGUGACCCUGGUGGAAUUCAAACUAAAAUAAUUAGGCAAACAUAUAAAUUUCCCUGUUUGAUUUAGACAACUUCAUGCCAAUAUGUAUGUAUGUCUGUAAUUUGAAUUCAAUUUGUAUGUAGGUAUAUUUAUUUCCUGUGUGAUUUGCACAUUUGGUAAGCUGUACUCUAUAGAUUAAUAGAUAUUGUUUAUGUGACCAAUUUCAUGCCUCUA